rnacentral:rRNA from 1 species
GAUGAACGCUGGCGGCGUGCCUAAUACAUGCAAGUCGAGCGAACAGAUGAGAAGCUUGCUUCUCUGAUGUUAGCGGCGGACGGGUGAGUAACACGUGGGUAACCUACCUAUAAGACUGGGAUAACUCCGGGAAACCGGGGCUAAUACCGGAUAAUAUUUUGAACCGCAUGGUUCAAUAGUGAAAGACGGUUUCGGCUGUCACUUAUAGAUGGACCCGCGCCGUAUUAGCUAGUUGGUAAGGUAACGGCUUACCAAGGCGACGAUACGUAGCCGACCUGAGAGGGUGAUCGGCCACACUGGAACUGAGACACGGUCCAGACUCCUACGGGAGGCAGCAGUAGGGAAUCUUCCGCAAUGGGCGAAAGCCUGACGGAGCAACGCCGCGUGAGUGAUGAAGGUCUUCGGAUCGUAAAACUCUGUUGUUAGGGAAGAACAAAUUUGUUAGUAACUGAACAAGUCCUGACGGUACCUAACCAGAAAGCCACGGCUAACUACGUGCCAGCAGCCGCGGUAAUACGUAGGUGGCAAGCGUUAUCCGGAAUUAUUGGGCGUAAAGCGCGCGUAGGCGGUUUCUUAAGUCUGAUGUGAAAGCCCACGGCUCAACCGUGGAGGGUCAUUGGAAACUGGGAAACUUGAGUGCAGAAGAGGAGAGUGGAAUUCCAUGUGUAGCGGUGAAAUGCGCAGAGAUAUGGAGGAACACCAGUGGCGAAGGCGGCUCUCUGGUCUGUAACUGACGCUGAUGUGCGAAAGCGUGGGGAUCAAACAGGAUUAGAUACCCUGGUAGUCCACGCCGUAAACGAUGAGUGCUAAGUGUUAGGGGGUUUCCGCCCCUUAGUGCUGCAGCUAACGCAUUAAGCACUCCGCCUGGGGAGUACGACCGCAAGGUUGAAACUCAAAGGAAUUGACGGGGACCCGCACAAGCGGUGGAGCAUGUGGUUUAAUUCGAAGCAACGCGAAGAACCUUACCAAAUCUUGACAUCCUUUGACCGCUCUAGAGAUAGAGUCUUCCCCUUCGGGGGACAAAGUGACAGGUGGUGCAUGGUUGUCGUCAGCUCGUGUCGUGAGAUGUUGGGUUAAGUCCCGCAACGAGCGCAACCCUUAAGCUUAGUUGCCAUCAUUAAGUUGGGCACUCUAGGUUGACUGCCGGUGACAAACCGGAGGAAGGUGGGGAUGACGUCAAAUCAUCAUGCCCCUUAUGAUUUGGGCUACACACGUGCUACAAUGGAUAAUACAAAGGGCAGCGAAUCCGCGAGGCCAAGCAAAUCCCAUAAAAUUAUUCUCAGUUCGGAUUGUAGUCUGCAACUCGACUACAUGAAGCUGGAAUCGCUAGUAAUCGUAGAUCAGCAUGCUACGGUGAAUACGUUCCCGGGUCUUGUACACACCGCCCGUCACACCACGAGAGUUUGUAACACCCGAAGCCGGUGGAGUAACAAUGUUAGGAGCUAGCCGUCGAAGGUGGGACAAAU